rnacentral:rRNA from 2 species
CCUACGGGAGGCAGCAGUAGGGAAUCUUCCGCAAUGGACGAAAGUCUGACGGAGCAACGCCGCGUGAGUGAUGAAGGCUUUCGGGUCGUAAAACUCUGUUGUUAGGGAAGAACAAGUGCUAGUUGAAUAAGCUGGCACCUUGACGGUACCUAACCAGAAAGCCACGGCUAACUACGUGCCAGCAGCCGCGGUAAUACGUAGGUGGCAAGCGUUAUCCGGAAUUAUUGGGCGUAAAGCGCGCGCAGGUGGUUUCUUAAGUCUGAUGUGAAAGCCCACGGCUCAACCGUGGAGGGUCAUUGGAAACUGGGAGACUUGAGUGCAGAAGAGGAAAGUGGAAUUCCAUGUGUAGCGGUGAAAUGCGUAGAGAUAUGGAGGAACACCAGUGGCGAAGGCGACUUUCUGGUCUGUAACUGACACUGAGGCGCGAAAGCGUGGGGAGC